UAACGGCGUCCAGUGGCGGACGGGUGAGUAAUGCCUGGGAAAUUGCCCUGAUGUGGGGGAUAACUAUUGGAAACGAUAGCUAAUACCGCAUAAUGCCUUCGGGCCAAAGAGGGGGACCUUCGGGCCUCUCGCGUCAGGAUAUGCCCAGGUGGGAUUAGCUAGUUGGUGAGGUAAUGGCUCACCAAGGCGACGAUCCCUAGCUGGUCUGAGAGGAUGAUCAGCCACACUGGAACUGAGACACGGUCCAGACUCCUACGGGAGGCAGCAGUGGGGAAUAUUGCACAAUGGGCGCAAGCCUGAUGCAGCCAUGCCGCGUGUAUGAAGAAGGCCUUCGGGUUGUAAAGUACUUUCAGCAGUGAGGAAGAUGGUGUCGUUAAUAUCGGCAUCAUUUGACGUUAGCUGCAGAAGAAGCACCGGCUAACUCCGUGCCAGCAGCCGCGGUAAUACGGAGGGUGCGAGCGUUAAUCGGAAUUACUGGGCGUAAAGCGCAUGCAGGUGGUUCGUUAAGUCAGAUGUGAAAGCCCGGGGCUCAACCUCGGAAUUGCAUUUGAAACUGGCGGACUAGAGUACUGUAGAGGGGGGUAGAAUUUCAGGUGUAGCGGUGAAAUGCGUAGAGAUCUGAAGGAAUACCAGUGGCGAAGGCGGCCCCCUGGACAGAUACUGACACUCAGAUGCGAAAGCGUGGGGAGCAAACAGGAUUAGAUAC
rnacentral:rRNA from 1 species